UGAAAGCUAUUCAUUUCCGAGAACAUGCCACGUGUUUCGCAACUAAAAAUGGUAUCAAAGUAACAGUGGAAAAUGCAAAGUGUGUGCAAGCAAAUGCUUUUAUUCAGGGGCAUGGUAUGGUGGCUCACACCUGUAUUUCCAGCUGCUCAGGAGACCGAGGCUGAAGCACGAAGAUCGCUUGAGCUCAGGCAUUAAAGACCAGCCUGGGUAAUCAUAGUGAGACCCCCGUAUCAAUAAAAAAUCAUAAUAAAAGUUGAAACUAA
rnacentral:lncRNA from 1 species